ACCUCUACUGUAUAGGGCCACUGACGGUAUUUAAUUGAGACAAUCAUUUGUGUUGUCUUGUUGAGAAGGCAGAAGCAAACAGAUGAGGUAGAAGGUUACUGUAAUAUUCCAGACAAAUGAUGAUGCAGCUUGAAGAAUGUGGUAACUGUGGCGAUACAAAGCAGUCAAAAUCAGGAAGUACUGUGAAGGUAGAGCCAACGGGAUGUG
rnacentral:lncRNA from 10 species